UCCAGCUAGGGUAUUGAAUAUUUCCUGUUGCAUUUCCGAACUCUACCACCGUUUUUAUAGAAUACAGCAGCAGAAGCUAUAGAUUUUAUAGCCUUUUUAUGUGGCCAUAGUUUCGCUUUCGCACUGGCCUUUUACGAGCGUUUUAUAACUUGUUUACAUUAGGCGAGUGAGCUGGCGAACACCACCCGAAAUGUCACGUUACGGAAGUGCUGGGAAUCAUUUUAUGCAAAAAUCUAUCAAAUCGCUGGCGGGCUGCAUAAAAAUCGUCGUAAAGCGAUGGCUUGAUUAAGAGCCAUAGCAGCUGGCAUUGACUAUAUAUAUAUAUUGAUGUAGAUCCGAGAUUGGAGCGGUGCAACGAAGCGAUUUCCCAAAACGAUUCUGUGGAGAAUCGAGGAUUAAGUGGAUUAGAUAUCGACCGAGCGGAUCCGCUUUUAAAGCUGCCAAUGGAUGGGAUGAGGCAGGUGAGUCGCACAGUGGCGACUGUGGUCCUGCUCCUGCUGAUUUUACCCCGACCAGCAAAACUGAACAUAAGGAUAGAUAAAUCCGCGGAGCUUGAGAAGAUUGAACAUAAAAUCGAAUAUACAAUGGGAUCCAUGGAAAGGCAAUCGGAAGCGGGCAACGAAAUAGAUUUAGAAGAUUCCAACCUUAUAUCUAAAACAUUUGCGCAGUUAGGAACUUAUGUGACAAAAGAGACCAAACGUCAAAGCAACUUUAACUUUAAGCUUCCCAGCGAAACAAAAAAACUAAUUCUGGAUAUCUUGUCAGGUUUAUUAUAAUAAAGAACUAAGUUUGACAAAAUUGAAA